rnacentral:rRNA from 1 species
AGGAUUCCCCUAGUAACUGCGAGUGAAGCGGGAAAAGCUCAAAUUUAAAAUCUGGUAGUCUUUGGCUGCCCGAGUUGUAAUCUAGAGAAGCAUUAUCUGCUCUGGACUGUGUAUAAGUAUCCUGGAAUGGAUCAUCAUAGAGGGUGAGAAUCCCGUCUUUGACACGGACUCCCAGGGCUUUGUGAUGUGCUCUCAAAGAGUCGAGUUGUUUGGGAAUGCAGCUCUAAAUGGGUGGUAAAUUCCAUCUAAAGCUAAAUAUUGGCGAGAGACCGAUAGCGAACAAGUACCGUGAGGGAAAGAUGAAAAGAACUUUGGAAAGAGAGUUAAACAGUACGUGAAAUUGCUGAAAGGGAAACGCUUGAAGUCAGUCGCGUUGGCUGGGGAUCAACCUUGCUUUUUGCUUGGCUUACUUCCCAGUUGACGGGUCAGCAUCAGUUUUGACCGGUGGAUAAAGGCUAGGGGAAUGUGGCACCUCCGGGUGUGUUAUAGCCCUUGGUCAU